rnacentral:rRNA from 1 species
AUUGAACGCUGGCGGCAGGCCUAACACAUGCAAGUCGAACGAGUGGCGGACGGGUGAGUAAUGUCUGGGAAACUGCCUGAUGGAGGGGGAUAACUACUGGAAACGGUAGCUAAUACCGCAUCCCAUCGGAUGUGCCCAUAUGGGAUUAGCUAUUAGGUGGGGUAAAGGCUCACCUAGGCGACGAUCCCUAGCUGGUCUGAGAGGCGGACCAGCCAAACUGGAACUGAGACACGGUCCAGACUCCGACGGGAGGCAGCAGUGGGGAAUAUUGCACAAUGGGCGCAAGCCUGAUGCAGCCAUGCCGCGUGUAUGAAGAAGGCGUCCGGGUUGUAAAGUACUUUCAGCGGGGAGGCGUUACCCGCAGAAGAAGCACCGGCUAACUCCGUGCCAGCAGCCGCGGUAAUUC